CAAACAAGCAUUACAACCCAUAAUUUAUUUAUCUGCAAAAAUUGUCUGUCCUGCUGCAUAUUUCCAUUUUGAAUUUAUCAUACGUUUUAAACCUAUCCCUGAAAAAACCUUGCACUUGGAUAAUAUUAGUAUAAACACCAUGUCUAUUUGUGCCAACCUUCCAAAUUUUUAAUAUUUUGCUAUCCUAAUUUGGAACAGAUCCUUUAUCCUCAAAACUUAUCAGGGGAAGUAGGCGUGUUUGUAUGGUAGUUCGUCACACCUUACAUGUAUGAUUACUAGCCUCCAGGUAUUGGUUUGAGCCCUAGUUGGGCAGUUGCAAAAUUAAGGUUUGAUUUUCAUGUCAGAUGUGAUAAGGUUAGUCAGUUUCCUCCCACAGGUUGGCAUUUUCCUUCAAGUACUACGGUUUAGUACGGCACUAAAACUGACUGCCAUGAAAUUACCCAUAUGGUGUAGAAAGUGAUGUUUAUAAAACCAAAGCAAACAAUCAAAGUUUUAAAUCUUUGUCCAUUUGUACAAGGAGCCGUAGUGGUUGAGCCAUUUAACUUAUGGUAAUUUUACCAAACUGUGACCACAACUUCAAGAUGUGACAUCAGGCCUCUUUUAACUUUGCCAAUAAAACUGACUGUCUUACGUGAAAUUAUCCAUAUGAUGUAGAAUGUGACAUUGAUGGUUGACCCCUUUCAAAGAAACCACCAGCAUGUACACACAACAAUGCUGCAAUGCUUUAGACAACAUUGAUCUGGAGACUUCAUGAUUUACAUGUAUAAAGGCUUUUAAAUGUAAAAAAAAAAAAAAAAAAAAUCCCUACCUACCUACCCACCUGCUGAUAGUGUGGGUCGGCAAUGCCAAACAAACAAUUUUUUAAGGGUGGCCA
rnacentral:lncRNA from 1 species